rnacentral:rRNA from 1 species
UACGUAGGGUGCAAGCGUUGUCCGGAUUUACUGGGCGUAAAGAGCGCGCAGGCGGUCGACCAAGUCGCGUGUGAAAGCCCCCGGCUCAACUGGGGAGGGUCACGCGAUACUGAUCGACUCGAAGGCAGGAGAGGGUAGUGGAAUUCCCGGUGUAGUGGUGAAAUGCGUAGAUAUCGGGAGGAACACCAGUGGCGAAGGCGACUACCUGGCCUGUUCUUGACGCUGAGGCGCGAAAGCUAGGGGAGCAAACGGG